CUUGGAGGUGAGCGGGGAGCUGCUGGAGGAGGAGGCGCAGCGGAAGCUGGAGCCCACGGCCCUCAGCUGCUUCCUCAACACAGCAGCGUGUAAUCUGAAGAUGCAGCUGUGGCAGGACGCUGUGGACAGCUGCAAUGAGGCUCUGGAGCUGGACCAAGCGAACACUAAGGCACUUUUCCGGAGGGCCCAGGCCUGGCAGGGGUUAAAGGAAAACAGCAAAGCCAUGAUUGAACUGAAGAAAGCUCAGGGAAUAGCUCCAGAAGACAAAGGUGGGUAAUCUGUCUCUAACACUUUUGCUGUUUGCUCAGCCCUUACUCAUGCUGAGAGUGC